GCGUCCUUUGGUUUAUCUGGGACAGCUGGGGUUCUCUUCGUUUGGGUUCACCAUCCAAUAGGUUGGCUGAGGCUUCCUCACUGGGUGCUGGAAGGCUCCCUUGCACAAGAGAGAGAUGGCAGGGCUUCUGCCCAAAUUUAGACUUACAACCUUACUUCCUCUAAGUUCUACUGGCCAGUGCAAGUCACAGCCCUGGCUCAAGUCAAGAGCUGGUGUUAACAGACUGCGUUUCUUAAUGGGAUGGAGCGGCACAGAAUCUGUGGUUUGUUUUAAUUUACCACAAAUGUCCUCCGACUUUUACGUUUAUAGAACAUGUUGCAUCUGUGUUUCUCCAGAGGCUUUUGGAUGGCGGCUCUGACCGUGAUGCUGGUGGUGCUGAGCCCUCCCUUGGCUUUGGCCAGGGACACCCCACGUAAGUACCUCUCUUGGGAGUUGAUCUAUCAUGGGGUGGGGAAGGAGGGGAGUUGCCAUUUUACUCUGUCUAGGCCAUGUCGCUGAAAAAAAUUGUGACAUAUUCUUCAGUGACCACUGAUCUUUAAUCAUAUGGAUCCUCAAUUCUUUCCACAAUUCAGAAGGGUCAGUGCUUGCCUUCAUUAUGAGAGUUGUAUAAGUUGCCUCCACAUAUGUUAACCAUUUUUUCAACUCUCCUCCAAUAAAAUCUUGCCAGCCUUGCA
rnacentral:lncRNA from 1 species